rnacentral:misc_RNA from 1 species
GCAAACUUGGUCAUUUAGAGGAAGUAAAAGUCGUAACAAGGUUUCCGUAGGUGAACCUGCGGAAGGAUCAUUCAUAAUGAAAGCGAAUUUUUAUGGCGCUUUUCAAAUAAUCCAUAUCCACCUUGUGUGUAAUGUUUGGAGGAGGUUUCCUGUGGGAUUCCUCAUUUCCAAAGUUAUUCUACCCAAGUUUUUCAAAUUGUCUGAAAAUAUUUUUUAAAUAAAAAAAAAUAUAACUUUCAACAACGGAUCUCUUGGCUCUCGCAUCGAUGAAGAACGCAGC